rnacentral:rRNA from 1 species
CCUACGGGAGGCUGCAGUGGGGAAUUUUCGGCAAUGGGCGCAAGCCUGACCCAGCAACGCCGCGUGAACGAAGAAGGCUUUCGUGUUGUAAACUUCUUUUGUCAGGGACGAAGCAAGUAUCGGUCCCUGACGAAUAAGUCACGGCUAACUACGUGCCAGCAGCCGCGGUAAUACGUAGGUGGCAAGCGUUAUUCGGCUUUACUGGGUGUAAAGGGCGUGUAGGCGGGACUGCAAGUCAGAUGUGAAAACCACGGGUUCAACCUGAGGCGUGCAUUAGAAACUGUAGUUCUUGAGUACUGGAGAGGCAGACGGAAUUCCUAGUGUAGCGGUAAAAUGCGUAGAUAUUAGGAGGAACACCAGUGGCGAAGGCGGUCUGCUGGACAGCAACUGACGCUGAGGCGCGAAAGCGUGGGGAGCAAACAGGAUUAGAUACCCGAGUAGUC